AGUGAACGCUGGCGGUAGGCCUAACACAUGCAAGUCGAACGGCAGCACAGUAAGAGCUUGCUCUUACGGGUGGCGAGUGGCGGACGGGUGAGGAAUACAUCGAAAUCUACUUUUUCGUGGGGGAUAACGUAGGGAAACUUACGCUAAUACCGCAUACGACCUACGGGUGAAAGCAGGGGAUCUUCGGACCUUGCGCGAUUGAAUGAGCCGAUGUCGGAUUAGCUAGUUGGCGGGGUAAAGGCCCACCAAGGCGACGAUCCGUAGCUGGUCUGAGAGGAUGAUCAGCCACACUGGAACUGAGACACGGUCCAGACUCCUACGGGAGGCAGCAGUGGGGAAUAUUGGACAAUGGGCGCAAGCCUUAUCCAGCCAUACCGCGUGGGUGAAGAAGGCCUUCGGGUUGUAAAGCCCUUUUGUUGGGAAAGAAAGGCAGCAGGUUAAUACCCCGCUGUUCUGACGGUACCCAAAGAAUAAGCACCGGCUAACUUCGU
rnacentral:rRNA from 1 species